rnacentral:tRNA from 1 species
CGGGGUGUAGCUCAGCCUGGUAGAGUACUUGCAUGGGGUGCAAGGGGUCGCAGAUUCGAAUCCUGUCACCCCGACCA